GUGAUCAUACCAGCACUGAUGCACCGGAUCCCAUUAGAACUCCGAAAUUAAGCAUGCUUGGGCGAGAAUAGUACUAGGAUGGGUGACCCCUGCGAAGUUCUCGUAUUGCACCCU